ensembl:lncRNA
ACAAUCAACUGGGAACUAAAGUUGGAAACUGUACAGAAAGUGCUAAUUAAAUAAAAUGUUACAUUUCUGUAACUCAGUUAGUGAGAUUUUCACAUUACCUUUUUUUUCCUAAGCUAUCUUGAUAAUUAAUGAAUAGAGCAGCACUCCUGCUCUUCCUCCCAUAUGUUUACUCAAACAGCAAAGUUGCCUCCUUUUAAGGAAUAGACUUCCCUUCACUGAAGUGCCCUCACUGGUGCCAGGACAACAUUUCACUUCCACUUAACUAUUUAUUUCCAAUACACGCUCAUAAAAGAACGCUUCAACUUCCCACAAUGAGUCUGCAGAAAAUUAUUUAAUAACUUCUUUGGGGAGGGAGAACGGGAGGAUUGCUGGAAAGCAACUUGCAACUCUCACCCCAAUCCCAUGUACACGGUUUGUAUUUUUACCAGCCAUAGCUGGAUGUGUGUGCAUAUAAAGUACAUGUAAGUGUGGGUAUGGAUCUCUUCGCCUGUGCCCGUGUUUGCGAGUGGCAGGUUUUUGUGUGUGCUUGAGUAAGAAAGGAAGACAGAACUUGNACAAUUCCACGUAUUACUGCAGUGCAAAUGCUAACUAAGCGAGUGAUGGAAGACGCACCUCGUUUCCCUCCGUCCAUUGCUUCCCCGCUUCCCAAGAUACAAAGAAGAAAGAAACGCGAGAAGGCAAAGGAACAGCCAAUGCGACAGCAAAGGAUCCUUUUCCUCCUCACACAGACUGACAUAGUUUCUGGACAUAAAAACCCACUUCGUGCUCCCACGCAAAGCCGUCGCGGCGUUUCCUAAGCCACUUCAUAAAGAGGCGAGUCAGGAGUCAGCUGUCAGCCAGUAGUCGCUGCCCCCCCCCCGUCCCGCCUGGGCGAUGCCAAAGAAGGCAAGCAGACUCUCGGCUGAGGAACUAGCUCAGGCCCGCUGGUCAAACGCCAGACGAGGAAUCCCCAGCCGCAGCCAACUAGCCAAACAUCAACCGCCGCCAUUUGUUUACUUGUCAGCCGGCAUGAGCGGCCACCGCAACUCCGUCCAGCCCAUCGACAGAGCCCUCCACCCCCGGCGGCGGCAGCGCGCCUCCUCGCCUUGCCUUCGGGGUCGCCCUGUAAAACUCACCCUUACCCUCGCUCCCCUACUCUCCUGGUGAGCGUCCAAGGCANCUUGAGGAGCGAAAGAGAGUCGCCGCCGCAGACACAAGCAGGCAGUCCCGCCCCUCUUAACAUUCGAUCCGGUUCCGGGAGGGCAACCGACAACUCCAAGUCGUGGCUCGCAGCGUUGCUUUCCGGCUCUCUUUUUCUCAAGAAGAUUCUUUCUUUCCUUGUUCCAUGCAGCGGCGGACUGAUGGGGAAACGACUUGUCGUAAAGGAGGGCGUGGCCAGGAGCCUGCGACAAUGGCGUAAAGAUAUCGAAGGCGCAGAAUUGUCUUUCUCGUCGGGACGCGAGAUAGAAAUUUAUAGAGCGACAGCAUGCCUGUAUACCAGAAUCUGAAAGGAACACACCAAUGAAAUCAGAGUACUUACGAAUAUUGGAGGGUUCUUUGAUAAGAAGAAUGUACUUGGGAUUUCUACUUCAAUCAAGUCCUUGGUACAUAUGAUGGUUUCAUUGAUUUCUGUACACAUAAUCAAAAUAACUGUUUACCAUCAUAUAGAACAGAUGUACAAAAAAUCAAUCCUAACCACAGAAGCCUAGUUCAUUGCACUUAAGAAAANGUUAACCGAUUCUGCAGUUUGCGUGAACAUACAGGCUUAUCGUUAUUAUUCUGACUUAAGAGAAUUUGCUUGAUAAUUAUAUUUAUUUAUUGAAAACUGUUUUGAGACAUUACCCAUGCAAUCCAGGAAUUGCUUCACUGGAGCACGCAGUGCAACAUCUGGACAUGUUGGCACAGCCAAGUUUUUGCCGUGAUGCUUGCUGUUAUUGUCAUGGGGGAGGCUGCUUAACUUUGAAUGCUUACUGACACCAGUGCAAAUUGAUGGAAUUUCCAUCAGGAACUUCAUAACUAGCAGCUGGGCUACAGAUGCUCCCAGAAUGGAAAAAGGCAAGAGUGCAGCAUCAGGAGUUAAUUUAUAUGUCAUUAUCUUGUUACCAAUAAUAAACAUUGUUGAAUAUUUUCCUGCA